CAUCUUGGGCCCAACACCCUCCGUCCCUCUCUCUAUCUAGAUUUUCGUUUCCCCCAUGCCACUCCAACUGACCGUCUGCCGUCUGUGCCCUGUUAUGUCCUUGCCGCAAACAACUAGUCCACGUCAAAGCUUCUCUGACCAUCUCUCCUCCCUCCCUCCCUCCGUCUGUUUCUCCCUUUAUUUGCCACACCUCCACACCAUGUCGUCCGGCCUCGAGGUCAGACCGAUAAGCCCCUAGACUUUUCUCUCCCUAACUUCGAUUGCCCUCUCUUGGUCUAUCCCUCUCAUCACUACACUACUUGAUAGCAAGCACAGCAGCUUGGCUCUACCAUGUCAUAGUAGCCAUCUUUGCCACAUUCUGUCGCCACCCAUGUCUUGCGCCAUAGAGCUCUACCGCUUCAAGCCCUCAUAGACCGACCCUCUGUUCUGCGCCUUGCACUCCAUCUCUAGCCACCGCCACCAGCUUGUGGCAUGGCCACAUGACCUCACACCGAGCGCUGGCAACCGACUACGCGCUGAAAAUAGUGGAUUAUCGUUGCAAGGUAAUUAUGAAAAGGUUAGGGAGCAAGGCACUAUUGCAAGAAGAGAGGCAGACGCUUAAGACCUUCCUUAAUAGAACAAUUAUGUUUAUAGAUGAUGGGUUAUGUUUUUAUGAAUGUAUGGACUCUAAGAGUCUUUUAUGGUGAAUGUUCGAAUAGAAUAUCUAUCAGGUGUUCCAUUUAUUA